rnacentral:rRNA from 1 species
UGGGGAAUUUUGGACAAUGGGCGAAAGCCUGAUCCAGCAAUGCCGCGUGUGUGAAGAAGGCCUUCGGGUUGUAAAGCACUUUUGUCCGGAAAGAAAUCCUUGGCUCUAAUACAGUCGGGGGAUGACGGUACCGGAAGAAUAAGCACCGGCUAACUACGUGCCAGCAGCCGCGGUAAUACGUAGGGUGCAAGCGUUAAUCGGAAUUACUGGGCGUAAAGCGUGCGCAGGCGGUUUGCUAAGACCGAUGUGAAAUCCCCGGGCUCAACCUGGGAACUGCAUUGGUGACUGGCAGGCUAGAGUAUGGCAGAGGGGGGUAGAAUUCCACGUGUAGCAGUGAAAUGCGUAGAGAUGUGGAGGAAUACCGAUGGCGAAGGCAGCCCCCUGGGCCAAUACUGACGCUCAUGCACGAAAGCGUGGGGAGCAAAACAGGAUUAGAUACCCUGGUAGUCCACGCCCUAAACGAUGUCAACUAGUUGUUGGGGAUUCAUUUCCUUAGUAACGUAGCUAACGCGUGAAGUUGACCGCCUGGGGAGUACGGUCGCAAGAUUAAAACUCAAAUGAAUUGACGGGUCAUAGCUGUUUCCU